AUACGGAGGGGGCUAGCGUUGUUCGGAAUUACUGGGCGUAAAGCGCGCGUAGGCGGGCUGGCCAGUCAGGGGUGAAAUCCCGGGGCUCAACCCCGGAACUGCCUUUGAUACUGCCAGUCUAGAGGUCGAGAGAGGUGAGUGGAAUUCCGAGUGUAGAGGUGAAAUUCGUAGAUAUUCGGAGGAACACCAGUGGCGAAGGCGGCUCACUGGCUCGAUUCUGACGCUGAGGUGCGAAAGCGUGGGGAGCAAACCGGAUUAGAUACCCUAGUAGUCC
rnacentral:rRNA from 1 species